rnacentral:lncRNA from 1 species
AGAAAUACACUUUCCGAGAUGGCCUCUAAAUCCUGGCUGAAUUUUUUAACCUUCCUCUAUGGAUCGGCAAUAGGGUUUAUUUUAUUUUCUCAGCUACUUAGUAUUUUGUUGGGAGAAGAGGGUGACACCCAGACUAAUGUUCUUCAUAAUGAUCCUCAUGCGAGGCAUUCAGAUGAUAAUGGACAGAAUCAUCUAGGAGGACAAAUGAACUUCAAUGCAGAUUCUAGCCAACGUAAAGAUGAGAACACAGACAUCGCUGAAAACCUCUAUUAGCAAGUUAAAAUUCUUUGCUGGGUUAUGACAGGCUCUCAAAACCUACAGAAAAAGGCCAAACAUGUCAAAGCUACAUGGGCCCAGCGUUGUCUAAAAGUAUUUUUUAUGAGUUCAGAAGAAAAUAAAGACUUCCGUGCUGUGGGAUUGAAAACCAAAGCAGGCAGAGAUGAGCUAUACUGGAAAACAAUUAAACCUUUUCAGUAUGUUCAUGAACAUCAUUUAGAAGAUGCUGAUUGGUUUUUGAAAGCAGAUGAUGACACAUAUUUCAUACUAGAUAAUUUGAGAUGGCUUCUUUCAAAAUAUGAUUCUAAAGAACACAUUUAUUUUAGGAGAAGAUUUAAGCCCUUUGUAAAACAGGGCUGUAUGAGUGGAGGAGCAGGAUAUUUACUAAGCAAAGAAAGCCUUGAAAAGAUUUCUUGAUGCAUUUAAAACAGACAAGUGUCACAUAGUUCCUCCACUGAAGACUUAGCACUGGGGAGAUGCAUGGAAAUUAUAAAUGUAGAAGCAGGAGAUUCCAGAGAUCCCACUGGAAAAGAAACUUUUCAUCCCUUUGUUUCAGAACACCAUUUAAUAAAGGUUAUCUACCUAGAACCUUUUGGUACUGGAAUUACAACUAUUAUCCUCCUGUAGAGGGUCCUGGUUGCUGUUCCGAUCUUGCAGUUUCUUUUCACUAUGUUGAUUUUACAACUGUGUAUGUGUUAGAAUACCUCGUUUAUCAUCUUCAUCCAUAUGGUUAUUUAUACAGAUAUCAAGCUACCUUACCUGAAAAUAUACUAAAGGAAAUUAGUCAAGCAAACAAAAAUGAAGGCACAAAAGUGAAGUCAGGAAACC